rnacentral:tRNA from 1 species
AUACGGGUUGUUUGGGGAAUAGUAGUCUUCGGCCUCCGAAGCCAAAGGUCGUGCGUUCGAAUCGCAUCCCGUCUACCA